GACGAACGCUGGCCGCGUGCUUAACACAUGCAAGUCGAACGGUGAUGCUCCAGCUUGCUGGAGUGGAUCAGUGGCGAACGGGUGAGUAACACGUGAGCAACCUGCCCCAGACUCUGGAAUAAGCGCUGGAAACGGCGUCUAAUACUGGAUACGAAACUGGCCCGCAUGGGCAUGGUUUGGAAAGUUUUUCGGUUUGGGAUGGGCUCGCGGCCUAUCAGCUUGUUGGUGAGGUAAUGGCUCACCAAGGCGACGACGGGUAGCCGGCCUGAGAGGGCGACCGGCCACACUGGGACUGAGACACGGCCCAGACUCCUACGGGAGGCAGCAGUGGGGAAUAUUGCACAAUGGGCGAAAGCCUGAUGCAGCGACGCCGCGUGAGGGAUGACGGCCUUCGGGUUGUAAACCUCUUUCAGCAGGGAAGAAGCGAAAGUGACGGUACCUGCAGAAGAAGCACCGGCUAACUACGU
rnacentral:rRNA from 1 species